CCUGGUUGAUCCUGCCAGUAGUCAUAUGCUUGUCUCAAAGAUUAAGCCAUGCAUGUGUAAGCACACACUGUUUUAAAAGUGAAGCCGCGAAUGGCUCAUUACAACAGCCACAGUUUAUUAGAACUUACAAUCAUGGAUAACUGUGGUAAUUCUAGAGCUAAUACACGCACAAAAACUUCAACUGAAUUGGUUGAAGUGCUUUUAUUAGAACAAAAACCGAACGGCGUUUGGCGAAUGUUGAACGUCGAAACUGUUUGGUGAAUCUGAAUAACUAUUUCUGAUCGCAUGGUCUAGCACCGGCGACAUCACUUUCAAGUGUCUGCCUUAUCAACCUUCGAUGGUAGUCUAUGCGACUACCAUGGUGAUAACGGGUAACGGAGAAUCAGGGUUCGACUCCGGAGAGGGAGCCUGAGAAACGGCUACCACAUCCAAGGAAGGCAGCAGGCGCGCAAAUUACCCACUCCCAGCUUGGGGAGGUAGUGACGAAAAAUAACGAGACGAUUCUCGUUUGAGAAACGUUAUCGAAAUGAGUACGCUUUACACACGCUAACGAGUAGCAAUUGGAGGGCAAGUCUGGUGCCAGCAGCCGCGGUAAUUCCAGCUCCAAUAGCGUAUAUUAAAGUUGCUGCGGUUAAAACGCUCGUAGUUGAAUUGUGGUCUUAGACAACAGUCCCCCUACAUAGGUGUGGCACGGUUGCUCGAGAUCUUCAUUCGUGGUUGCUGUUGUUGCUCUUCAUUGAGUGUCAAUGGUGCCUCGAGAUUUUACUUUGAAAAAAUUAGAGUGCUCAAAGCAGCACGUGAGUAAUAGAAUAAUUGUUGCGUAGUGAUCUGGGGCUGCGUUGGCGUUUCACAAUUUUUAUUCUACUUGACGCGGAAAAAAGAACAUAUACAGACACCCAAACAGAUACAGACAAACAGACAGACAUCCAGACCGAUCUCGGUUCUAUUUUGUUGGUUUUCGAACCGGAGAUAAUGAUUGAAAGGAACAGACGGGGGCAUUCGUAUUGCUGCGUUAGAGGUGAAAUUCUUGGAUCGCAGCAAGAUGAACAAUUGCGAAAGCAUUUGCCAAGAAUGUUUUCAUUAAUCAAGAACGAAAGUUAGAGGUUCGAAGGCGAUCAGAUACCGCCCUAGUUCUAACGGUAAACUAUGCCAACCAGCGAUUCGCCGAAGUUCAUUUAAGACUCGGCGAGCAGCUUCCGGGAAACCAAAGUGUUUCGGUUCCGGGGGAAGUAUGGUUGCAAAGCUGAAACUUAAAGGAAUUGACGGAAGGGCACCACCAGGAGUGGAGCCUGCGGCUUAAUUUGACUCAACACGGGAAAACUCACCCGGCCCGGACACUGGAAGGAUUGACAGAUUGACAGCUCUUUCUUGAUUCAGUGGGUAGUGGUGCAUGGCCGUUCUUAGUUGGUGGAGCGAUUUGUCUGGUUAAUUCCGAUAACGAACGAGACUCUACCCUAUUAAAUAGUGACAGUAUUGUAUUUUUUGUGCUGAUCACUUCUUAGAGGGACUGGCAAAUUGAAAGCUGCACGAAAAAGAGCAAUAACAGGUCUGUGAUGCCCUUCGAUGUCCGGGGCUGCACGCGCGCUACAAUGAAAGCGUCAACGUGAGUUACGUCCUUACCUGAAAAGGUUUGGCAAUCGAAUGAAACGUUUUCUUGAAUGGAAUAGGGAAUUGCAAUUGUUUCCCUUGAACGAGGAAUUCCCAGUAAGCGUGAGUCAUUAGCUCGCGUUGAUUACGUCCCUGCCCUUUGUACACACCGCCCGUCGCUACUACCGAUUGGAUGAUUUAGUGAGGUGUUUUGACUGGCGCCAGUAGUCGGAUGUAUUCGGCUUCGCGCCGGGAAAUUUCCCAAACCAAAUCAUCUAGAGGAAGUAAAAGUCGUAACAAGGUUUCCGUAGGUGAACCUGCGGAAG
rnacentral:rRNA from 1 species